AAAACUUAUAAAAGCGACCUCAGUUCGGAUUGAAGGCUGAAAUUCGCCUUCAUGAAGUCGGAAUUGCUAGUAAUGGCAAGUCAGCAUACUGCCGUGAAUACGUUCCCGGGCCUUGUACACACCGCCCGUCACACCAUGAGAGUUGGAGAUACCCGAAGCCUAUGAGCUAACUUUUAGAGGCAGUAGUCGAAGGUAGAAUCAAUGAUUGGGGUGAAGUCGUAACAAGGUACC
rnacentral:rRNA from 1 species